GGGAAUGUAGCUCAAGUGGAGCUCCUGCCUUUUAGCAAGUGAUCUGGGUUCAAAUCCUAGCAAUCCAU
rnacentral:tRNA from 1 species